AGUGAACGCUGGCGGUGGGCCUAACACAUGCAAGUCGAACGGCAGCACAGUAAGAGCUUGCUCUUACGGGUGGCGAGUGGCGGACGGGUGAGGAGUACAUCGGAAUCUACUUUUUCGUGGGGGAUAACGUAGGGAAACUUACACUAAUACCGCAUACGACCUACGGGUGAAAGCAGGGGAUCUUCGGACCUUGCGCGAUUGAAUGAGCCGAUGUCGGAUUAGCUAGUUGGCGGGGUAAAGGCCCACCAAGGCGACGAUCCGUAGCUGGUCUGAGAGGAUGAUCAGCCACACUGGAACUGAGACACGGUCCAGACUCCUACGGGAGGCAGCAGUGGGGAAUAUUGGACAAUGGGCGCAAGCCUGAUCCAGCCAUACCGCGUGGGUGAAGAAGGCCUUCGGGUUGUAAAGCCCUUUUGUUGGGAAAGAAAAGCAGCAGGUUAAUACCCCGCUGUUCUGACGGUACCCAAAGAAUAAGCACCGGCUAACUUCGUG
rnacentral:rRNA from 1 species